UUUAAAUGUAAAUAAAAAAUAUCAAAUUAGUAUUAGUUAAGUUCUUUAAAUUUAAAAAUUUUGGCGGUAUUUUAGUCUAUUCAGAGGAACCUGUUCUAUAAUUGAUAAUCCACGAUUAACUAUACUUAUUUUUUUAAUUUGUAUAUCGUCGUUUAUAAAUAAUUUUAUAAGAAUAUAAAUUUUUAAAAUUUUUAAUUAAAAAAUAUAUCAGAUCAAGGUGCAGUUUAUAAAUAAGAAGAAAUGGGUUACAAUAAAUUUAUUUAAAUGGAUUAAUUUUUAAAAUAAAAUUAUGAAGGUGGAUUUGAUAGUAAUUAAAUUAAUUUAAAUUUAAUGAUUUUAGCUCUAAAAUAUGU
rnacentral:rRNA from 2 species